rnacentral:rRNA from 1 species
UACGAAGGGUGCAAGCGUUAAUCGGAAUUACUGGGCGUAAAGGGUGCGUAGGCGGUUGUUUAAGUCUGUCGUGAAAUCCCCGGGCUCAACCUGGGAAUGGCGAUGGAUACUGGGCAGCUAGAGUGUGUCAGAGGAUGGUGGAAUUCCCGGUGUAGCGGUGAAAUGCGUAGAGAUCGGGAGGAACAUCAGUGGCGAAGGCGGCCAUCUGGGACAACACUGACGCUGAAGCACGAAAGUGUGGGGAGCAAACAGG